GCCAGUGUGGUAUAAUGGUUUGAGUAUUAAGACUAUGAUUCUGGAGACUAAGGUUCAAAUCCUAGCUCUGCUA